rnacentral:rRNA from 1 species
UACAGAGGGGGCAAGCGUUAUUCGGAAUUAUUGGGCGUAAAGGGCGCGUAGGCGGCCUUUCAAGUGACGGGUGAAAUCCCUCGGCUUAACCGGGGAGCUGCAUCUGAUACUGGAUGGCUUGAGAUUGGGAGAGGGAUGCGGAAUUCCAGGUGUAGCGGUGAAAUGCGUAGAUAUUGGGAGGAACACCGGUGGCGAAGGCGGCUACCUGGACCGGUUCUGACGCUGAGGCGCGAAAGCUAGGGGAGCAAACAGG